rnacentral:lncRNA from 1 species
GGCGCCCGGAAAACCUUAGCUCUUGGCUAUCUCUUCCCUGAGCACACCCUGGCCCUGGGGCCUGAGAUCUCUCCAUGCAGGGGCAGCCAUGAGCUCCGGGGGCAGCAGCAAGGCUGGCCACACCACCCAUCAGCCACCUCCAGCCCCGCCGCUCAACCAGCCAUCAGUCCCUUAACUGCCAGUGUUCGUGGACCAUGCAAAACAACCAAGAGGAAGAGAAGGGACCAUCUCAGGUAUGACUUCAAAUCAAGCCACUGGGUUGUCUGAGAAGUACCCCAAGCAACUAGUCUGGACUGGGAGGUUGAAUUGAGUCCUUGCUGUUGCUGAAGCUGUGAGAAUAAUUCUGUUUAAAAAACUUUUAAAUAAAAUAUCCUUCAAAAUA